UACGGGGGGGGCAAGCGUUGUUCGGAAUUACUGGGCGUAAAGGGCUCGUAGGCGGCCAACUAAGUCAGACGUGAAAUCCCUCGGCUUAACCGGGGAACUGCGUCUGAUACUGGAUGGCUGGAGUUUGGGAGAGGGAUGCGGAAUUCCAGGUGUAGCGGUGAAAUGCGUAGAUAUCUGGAGGAACACCGGUGGCGAAGGCGGCAUCCUGGACCAAUACUGACGCUGAGGAGCGAAGGCCAGGGGAGCAAACGGG
rnacentral:rRNA from 1 species